GAAGCUGACCAGACAGUCGCCGCUUCGUCGUCGUCCUCUUAGGGGGAGACGGGCGGAGGGGAGGAAAGUCCGGGCUCCAUAGGGCAAGGUGCCAGGUAACGCCUGGGGGGUGUCACAGCCCACGACCAGUGCAACAGAGAGCAAACCGCCGAUGGCCCGCUCAAGCGGGAUCAGGUAAGGGUGAAAGGGUGCGGUAAGAGCGCACCGCGCGGCUGGUAACAGUCCGCGGCACGGUAAACUCCACCCGGAGCAAGGCCAAAUAGGGGUUCAUAAGGUACGGCCCGUACUGAACCCGGGUAGGCUGCUUGAGCCAGUGAGCGAUUGCUGGCCUAGAUGAAUGACUGUCCACGACAGAACCCGGCUUAUCGGUCAGUUUCACCU
rnacentral:RNase_P_RNA from 1 species